UGGGGAAUAUUGCACAAUGGGCGAAAGCCUGAUGCAGCAACGCCGCGUGAGUGAUGAAGGCCUUCGGGUUGUAAAGCUCUGUCUUCUGGGACGAUAAUGACGGUACCAGAGGAGGAAGCCACGGCUAACUACGUGCCAGCAGCCGCGGUAAUACGUAGGUGGCAAGCGUUGUCCGGAUCUACUGGGCGUAAAGGAUGCGUAGGCGGAUACUUAAGGCAGAUGUGAAAAUCCCGGGCUUAACUUGGGAACUGCAUUUGAAACUGGGUAUCUAGAGUGCGGGAGAGGAAAGUGGAAUUCCUAGUGGAGCGGUGAAAUGCGUAGAGAUUAGGAAGAACACCAGUGGCGAAGGCGACUUGCUGGACCGUAACUGACGCUGAGGCAUGAAAGCGUGGGGAGCAAAC
rnacentral:rRNA from 1 species